rnacentral:lncRNA from 1 species
AGUAGGCGGCACCCGCGGGGAAACAGGUGUCGGCGCAGCCCGGGAGGCUCAGGUGCUACCUUUCCCGGGUGGGGUUUGUGAGGAGUGAGCUCUUCGUUCCCGGAGGCAGGUAAGUCUGUCGGUGGCUCAUCACAGAGCACUGUUUUGGAAAGCGUUCCACCCACCUCAGCUUCGUGCUGUGUUUGGGCCACUAGUCAGGGGGAAGGAUGCUGAGCGACAUGGACUUUAGAG